rnacentral:tRNA from 1 species
GGGCCGGUAUAUCAGUCUGGUAGAUAGCUCCGCUUGCACCGGAGAGGCCUUGGGUUCAAAUCCCAACCGGUCCA